rnacentral:rRNA from 1 species
CUGAUCCAGCAUGCCGCGUGUGUGAAGAAGGCCUUCGGGUUGUAAAGCACUUUUGUCCGGAAAGAAAUCCUUGGCUCUAAUACAGUCGGGGGAUGACGGUACCGGAAGAAUAAGCACCGGCUAACUACGUGCCAGCAGCCGCGGUAAUACGUAGGGUGCGAGCGUUAAUCGGAAUUACUGGGCGUAAAGCGUGCGCAGGCGGUUUGCUAAGACCGAUGUGAAAUCCCCGGGCUCAACCUGGGAACUGCAUUGGUGACUGGCAGGCUAGAGUAUGGCAGAGGGGGGUAGAAUUCCACGUGUAGCAGUGAAAUGCGUAGAGAUGUGGAGGAAUACCGAUGGCGAAGGCAGCCCCCUGGGCCAAUACUGACGCUCAUGCACGAAAGCGUGGGGAGCAAACAG